GAACUGAAACAUCUUAUUAACUAAAGGAAAAGAAAGCAAACGCAAUUUCCAAAGUAGCGGCGAGCGAAAUGGAAAAAGUCUAAACUGAUCAAAUCAGGGUAGUGGGACUUUAAUAAAGAUAACAAAUAAAAAAUAAAAAACAGCUGAAACCUGUACCAAAGAUGGUGAAAGUCCAGUUUUAUUCUUUUUUUCCUAUCUGAAGUAUCCCAAGUAGCUUGGGGCACGUGGAAUCCCUUGUGAAUCAGCGAGGACCACCUCGUAAGACUAAAUACUCUUGAGUCACUGAUAGCGAAAAGUACCGUGAGGGAAAGGUGAAAGAGACCCCCUGUAGGGGAGUGAAAUAGAUCAUGAAACCAGAAGCAAUCAAUCUGUGGGAGGAAAUAUCUGACCACAUGCCUGUUGAAGAAUGAGCCGGCGACUCAUGAUUUUUGGCUUGGUUAAAGAAAAUUUCUGUAGCCUGAGUGAAAACGAGUCUGAAAAAGGCGAAAAGUCAAAAAUUAUGGACCCGAACCCGAGUGAUCUAACCAUGACCAGGAAGAAUCUUGGGUAAAACUAAGUGGAUGUCCGAACCGACCGAUGUUGAAAAAUCGACGGAUGAGUUGUGGUUAGAGGUGAAAUGCUAAUCGAACUCGGAGCUAGCUGGUUCUCCCCGAAAUGCGUUGUGGCGCAGCAUUUAUAGAUGUCCUAUACCUGAAUAGGUAGAGCACUGUUUCGAUGCGGGCCAGUCAAAAGGUACCAAAUUGUGGCAAACUCCAAAUUAUUCAGAUUUAUACCUAUAAAAAGUGAGACUUUGGGGGAUAAGCUCCAGGGUCAAGAGGGAAACAGCCCAGACCAUCAGUUAAGGCCCCUAAAUAAUAGCUAAGUGUUAAAGGAAGUUUCCAUGCUGAAACAACCAGAAGGUUCGCUUAGAAGCAGCUAUCCUUGAAAGAAUGCGUAAUAGCUCACUGGUUAUUUCUUUUUAGGAAAUUAGGAAAAAAGCGUGGAUGCGCCGAAAAUGUCCGGGACUAAGUUAUUUGCCGAAACUGUGGCCUUAUUAAAGGGGUAGGGGAGCGUUCUGUUAUGAGGUGAAGGAUUUUUGAAAAAAAAUGAUAGAUCGAACAGAAGUGAGAAUGUCGGCUUGAGUAACGAAAACAUUAGUGAGAAUCUAAUGCCCCGAAAGCCUAAGGUUUCCUCUUCAAGGCUCGUCCAGAGAGGGUUAGUCAGGACCUAAGAUUAGGCUGAAAAGCGUCAUCGAUGGAGAACAGGUCAAUAUUCCUGUACUUAUUUUUAUUUUGAGACAAGGGACGAGGGCAACAAGUUCAAGCUCUUCAAAUGGUUCAGAGUGGAAAUGUUUAACAUAUGGUUCGAAAAAAAAAUCGAACUUGGGCAGAAAAGGUGGAUGAGCCCCCGCUGGGGGCAAAACCGCCACCUGGGUCAGUAUGAAGACAUGAUACGUUAUUUGAAAAAUUUAUUUAUGAAAUAAUUUGAAUUUUGUUAUACUUCCUAGAAAAGCUUGAGACUCUUAUAAUAAAAAUAACCUGUACCAUAAACCGACACAGGUGGGUAAGUUGAGUAAACUCAGGGGCGCGAGAUAACUCUCUCUAAGGAACUCGGCAAAAUAGCCCCGUAACUUCGGGAGAAGGGGUGUAUUUUUCUUGAAAGAAAAAUACCGCAGUGAACAAAUUCAUUGAACUUUUUAACAAAAAAAUAGGUCUCCGCAAAGUCGCAAGACAACGUAUGGGGGCUGACGCCUGCCCAGUGCCGGAAGGUUAAAGGAAUUGGUGAAAGCUGAUAACUGAAGCCCCGGUGAACGGCGGCCGUAACUAGCGAAAUUCCUUGUCAAGUAAGUUUUGACCCGCACGAAAGGCGCAAUCAAAUGAAUACUGUCUCAGAGAGAGACUCGGUGAAAUAGACAUAUCCGUGAAGAUGCGGAAAAAGGUAACGGAGGUUUGCAAAGGUUUCCUCAAACUGGACGGAAAUCAGUUGUUGAGUGUAAAGGCAAAAGGAAGCUUGACUGCAAGACUUAUAAGUCGAGCAGAGGCGAAAGCCGGCCUUAAUGAUCCGACGGAAACCAAGUGGAAGGGCCGUCGCGCAAAAGAUAAAAGUUACUCAACAGGCUUAUCUUCCCCAAGAGUUCACAUCGACGGGAAGGUUUGGCACCUCUUCGCAACCUGGGGCGGCAGUAUGUCCCAAGGGUUGGGCUGUUCGCCCAUUAAAGCGGUACAUGAG
rnacentral:rRNA from 1 species